UAAUUACUACGGCUAUCAACCAGACAGAUAUGGAUAUGGUUAUAAACCAGACGACUAUGGCACCAACAGCGGAUAUCGCAGUUACGGCUACAACAGCUAUGCAGGGGUAGGGUAUAACUACAACAGAAGGAACGGAUACACUGGAUACGUACCAAGGCCUUAUAACCCAACGCACUGAAAAUGCACCUGUCCUUCACUCUGCAGCGUUCAGCGAAGGAUAUGACGACACCAGCCGUGUGAUUUGUACUUUACAAUUGCUCUCACAUAUACUACCAAAUGCUUGGAAGACUUUUUCCGAGUGAAUAGACUGAUGCAAUUUCGAAACUUAGUCUGGACCUAUUUAUCUUCAAAAUGUUUGUCAUUGCCUAAGAAAUAAAGCAUAAAACCUGU